GAAGAUGGAGGAGGUUUUGGUUUCUAAGAGAAAAUCUGCAGCUUUUUCCAGAAAUACCCAAGGGGUCCAGAAGAAAACCUACUGAGAGAGCCACUACUCGGUGUGUGGACAAGAGGAAGCCUCCUGCACACGCCAGCAAGGCUGACAAGGAGAAAGAGAAAAGACAAUGGAGGUUCCCAGACUCGGAAGGGAAUGUCGGCAGAAGGGGAUUUUUUUCAUGUUUUCAAGAGAUUGGUACGUCAGCAAGAAAAGUUUUCUUCCUGGGGAGAAAUACAAGCAAAUAUCAAGACAAGAGGAGUCAACACGAUCCACCUAAUGCUCUCCUUUCCCUGACGUGUACUCAAGAAUCAGAUAUCUCACAGGGUUCCAUCAGGAUGGAAAGCAGUUUAGAGAUAAAAGGAGGUUUUACCCAAUGCCCAUUGCUUCAAGAGGAGGCAUUUUGCUAGGACGAGACAGAGCAAUGAGUAUCGAUCUUAGCCUCAUUUACAGUGCUGUCGCGUCACUCUCAAGGCUCUAAUGGACAAUGAGUUACUGUGGAGACAACCAGGAGUAAAAUGCAGCUGGUGUGCCAGCUCCAGUGCUUAAGCCACAGGGAAAAAAAGCAGGACACUGGUGGCAUAGAAACCACGUGCUCCACACCUCUGCUGUUCCUGCAGGCCUGGGAUGAUAUCUACCCAGAAGACUUACAACGUCCUUUCCUCAAGCUCCCUGACACGCAUUAUGACUGUGAACACUGCCUCUUUCUCAGAGCAGCAUUUAAGCAUGAGUAUUUGUCUCAGAAAAAACAAACAUACACCAUCAAACACAAACCAGCCCUCGGAGACGCACAGCUCCCGGAGUUGGGGCUCAAAACUCUCUGAAACUUCACUCAUUUGGGUUAAAAGGGACCUUGAUGCAGAACACUUCAGCUAUGGGAACUGUGCAUCCGUGGGAUGUAUUUAUUUAUUUAUUUAUUUAUUUUCCAGUCUCUCAUUCUCCUACUUUAGCUGAUCUCUAGCUAUCAAAUUGUGAUGGAGCAAAGGUAAUAAAAUGCCUGUAGGAGAGAAAAUCCUGCCUGAAGUUCUCCCAGAGCUCAGCCAGACCUAGAAGAUGCACAGUUCAAUUAAAAGAAAUACAAAGUUUUUCUCUUUUCACCU